GUGACUGUUUGAAUCUUAAUUUUCUAACCGACCGACCAAAAAAGAAAAUCGACGCACAGUCGUCUGAAAAUUGCCCGAUCAACCACCGGCCAACUACACCACUGUCGUAGUGAUCUAAAUCGACGACCACGCAUCUACAUCGGAAAGAAUACCGGUUAGUUUUCUCGCACAGUAUGAGUUCCAGUUGAAAAUUUAUUGAAUAAUAUUAGAUUUAAUUAGAUGAGUAUUCGGUUUAAUUAGAUCAUGAGCAUGAGCAGUAUUAGAUUGUGGGCAUACUGGGAUGAAAAAUGUGAUAUUUUUUUGUAAUUUUUGGACCUAUGACGUCGGCAAUGACGAUUUCCGACCAGAAUCGCGAAAAACGGUGCUGUUAGCAGUCGGAUUAACCCGACUGUUAAUAGUCGUAGGCCGACUGUUAACAGUCGAUCUAGUUUUUAAAAUGUAUUUAAUUUGAAAUUUUUUGUUUGUAAAUAUAUUUUUCAAAUGAUUACAAGAGUAAUUUUCUUUAUAAUUAAUUUAUUUUAAUUUGAUUAAAUAAUAAUUAUGUUAUUUAUUUAUUUAAUUUUUAUAAUUGCCUUUUUUUAUAUAAUUUAAUAAUUGAAUAGAUAACGUUGUCCGAAAUUAACAAAUCUUUUUUUUCUUUUAUUGUUCUUUUACCUUUGAUUUUGUUUCGAAUUUAUUUAAAUAAUAUUUAUAUUCUUUAAUUUUUUUGAAAAUGUAUUUAAUUUGAUUUUUUUAAAAUAUAUUUUUCAAAUAUAAUAUUUGUGAUUAAUUUUCUUUAUAACUAAUUUAUUUUAAUGCGUAUUGUAUGGUAGUUAGAAUUCGGUUCCCUAGAUUUUGUGAGAUUAUGCUUCCUUUUGUUAUCUGUUAUUCAAUGCUCUAACAUUUGAAUUUUUGCAGGAUGAAGUAUCAUUUAGAUGGGGAGUUGAGACGGAUGGCGGGGAAGGCUACUUGAAACAGUAGCUUUAAGAGUUUUACUGCUGUGUUGGAGCUGCUCGAUGAUCAGCACAGAGAUAUGCUACGACAGUCCUUCUUAUGGCCACUGUACUAGUUGCGAGAGGUGCAGUACUCAGGACAGAUCAUCGAUGCACUUCUAUGUCGGCUUCUGAG
rnacentral:lncRNA from 1 species